rnacentral:rRNA from 1 species
AUUGAACGCUGGCGGCAGGCUUAACACAUGCAAGUCGAGCGGAGAGAGGUAGCUUGCUACUGAUCUUAGCGGCGGACGGGUGAGUAAUGCUUAGGAAUCUGCCUAUUAGUGGGGGACAACAUUUCGAAAGGAAUGCUAAUACCGCAUACGUCCUACGGGAGAAAGCAGGGGAUCUUCGGACCUUGCGCUAAUAGAUGAGCCUAAGUCGGAUUAGCUAGUUGGUGGGGUAAAGGCCUACCAAGGCGACGAUCUGUAGCGGGUCUGAGAGGAUGAUCGUCCACACUGGGACUGGGACACGGCCCAGACUCCUACGGGAGGCAGCAGUGGGGAAUAUUGGACAAUGGGCGGAAGCCUGAUCCAGCCAUGCCGCGUGUGUGAAGAAGGCCUUAUGGUUGUAAAGCACUUUAAGCGAGGAGGAGGCUACUUUAGUUAAUACCUAGAGAUAGUGGACGUUACUCGCAGAAUAAGCACCGGCUAACUCUGUGCCAGCAGCCGCCGCCG